rnacentral:rRNA from 1 species
UACGAAGGGGGCUAGCGUUGUUCGGAAUCACUGGGCGUAAAGCGCACGUAGGCGGAUGUGCCAGUCAGGGGUGAAAUCCCGGAGCUCAACUUCGGAACUGCCUCUGAUACAGCACGUCUUGAGUCCGGAAGAGGUGGGUGGAAUUCCUAGUGUAGAGGUGAAAUUCGUAGAUAUUAGGAAGAACACCGGUGGCGAAGGCGGCCCACUGGUCCGGUUCUGACGCUGAGGCGCGAAAGCGUGGGGAGCAAACAGG